AGAGUUUGAUCAUGGCUCAGAUUGAACGCUGGCGGCAUGCCUUACACAUGCAAGUCGAACGGUAACAGGUCUUUCGGGAUGCUGACGAGUGGCGAACGGGUGAGUAAUACAUCGGAACGUGCCCAGUAAUGGGGGAUAGCUCGGCGAAAGCCGGAUUAAUACCGCAUACGCCCUGAGGGGGAAAGUGGGGGACCGCAAGGCCUCACGUUAUUGGAGCGGCCGAUGGCUGAUUAGCUAGUUGGUAGGGUAAAGGCCUACCAAGGCGACGAUCAGUAGCUGGUCUGAGAGGACGAUCAGCCACACUGGGACUGAGACACGGCCCAGACUCCUACGGGAGGCAGCAGUGGGGAAUUUUGGACAAUGGGGGAAACCCUGAUCCAGCAAUGCCGCGUGUGCGAAGAAGGCCUUCGGGUUGUAAAGCACUUUUGUCAGGGAAGAAAUCCUUUGGGCUAAUACCCUAGGGGGAUGACGGUACCUGAAGAAUAAGCACCGGCUAACUACGUGCCAGCAGCCGCGGUAAUACGUAGGGUGCAAGCGUUAAUCGGAAUUACUGGGCGUAAAGCGUGCGCAGGCGGUUGUGUAAGACAGGUGUGAAAUCCCCGGGCUUAACCUGGGAAUUGCAUUUGUGACUGCACGACUAGAGUGUGUCAGAGGGGGGGUGGAAUUCCACGUGUAGCAGUGAAAUGCGUAGAUAUGUGGAGGAACACCAAUGGCGAAAGCAGCCCCC
rnacentral:rRNA from 1 species